AAUACCGUAAUAUCGUUCAUCGCUUACCUUUCGACUCCCACGAUUAAUCUUCUCUCCGAAUCCUUUCAACGUUUUGCUUCUCACCACUAUCUACUCUACAAUCCUUUGCAUUCAAUGGAUUCCUUUCACAUUACUCUCCAUUUGUCUAUUUAUACAUCUCCUCUCUUAGCUUAUGUCUUGAUUACAAUUGAUAAGAUUCUCUCAGACAAUCUUCCCGUUGGAACCCAGAGGAAACGCUCCAGUUUCCAGCGACUGCAAGACCACCAAGAAGACUGUCGCCUCCUCCGUAACUGCGAAACCGAACGGAAAGUCAACUGCUUCCUCCGCGAUUGUGAUGUAACCUAACGGCAAGACUCAUGUUUCAUCUGCUAUUCCGGUAAAGCCAAACGCUGCGACCGCUCUCUCCUCCGCGCAUGGCGACCAAGUGAUGUUCUUCAGAGAUGUUUCACUUGGCCCACACAAAGUCGAGUUGAAGUUUCGUCUGAUUCAUUAUUGGGAGGCUCGAAUCCUCACACGAAAACCCUCAUUAGACAGGCGAUGCUCCCAAUCGACGAAGAGGGAACUGUCAUUCAAGGUUAGCCAAAGUGAAAAGAUAUAACUGGCGGCACAGAAUGGAAAGACACAAAAGCUUUACAACACUCGCUUGAGGCUGUAAGUUUAUAGAGAUACUAAUCUCAGUUUCAGUUUCCUUUUAUUUUUAACUUUUUGGACUGAGCCUAAUCUAAUUUAGUUUAUGCACUUUGUUGCAACAUAUUGACCCCUAUACAUCGGUGUGGACACAAUAUUUAUUUUUACCACAAGUUGCUCCGCUGUCAGAGUAGAGACCCUUACUUCUACUGGUUACUUCUAACCAACUCCUAUUCCCAUUUAUGACAAAAGAUUUGAGACGAAUCAAGAAAAAUAAACUUAGAUGCGUGUUUGAUUGAAAUGUUACAUGUUUGAUAUUGACGAGGGAAAAGAAGUAAACGUUGUGGGGAAGUGCCUUCAAUUUAAACUUAAACAACAGUGCAUCAAUUACACUGGUCUGGAAAUCUUCUGAGGUUGUUGUGGAAGACAGAAACUCUUCUACAAGAACAGUGGAGAAAUUUUGGUGCGCAGCACAUCGACAGUGUUAUACAUUGGGGAGAAGAAGGGUCCGUUUCAACAUUCAAGCUUCUUCGCUGGAAGAGCAAUGGUGCUGCAUGAAGUUUUGUUGUUGAGAAUGGUAGUCUUAAAGGCUGCUUGGCUAUGGUCCAUGCUAGGUUGCAAAUUUUAAAUUUUAGUAUAGUAGAUUUUAUAAAAAAUAGAUUAAAGUUUUCAGCGUGCUGCAAGUAUUUUUUUAUGCUAAUAAGAAAAUCCUGAAAAAAAUGUGUUCAAAAAGCUUAAGGAAAUAAAUAAGAUAUUUAAAAAAAAUACAUUACUCUUAUUUGGUUUCAGUUUCAGGUAUGGGAUUGUCUAAUUCUCAUGGCAUGAGGGUUGGUCUAGGAAUGACAUCAAUCAUCAAACUAUCAUUGUAAAUUCUGUGUACUAAAAGAGGUCUUUUAGUCGGAUGACUCACACGUUUGAUCACCACAAGGACAACGAGCGUCUUGAAGAGUGUCUUAUUUGUUUGCUGCAGAUAAUUUUGAGUAUCUUCGGGAUAGUUUACUGCAUUUGAAUGACUUCUCUUGGUUUUGAUUAUCUUAGGAGGGUGCGUGCAGACUUCCACCUGUCUGUAACUUUGCUACAGGAGACUUCAUUGCAGCAGUAGGGAAAAUCGCAGAGGCUCUUUCAGAUUUAGUGAUGGGAUCCAUCUCGGUUAAUCCUGCAUCUUAGAAAUGGGAGUUGUGUAUCCGUCUAUGAUUCACGCAACAACGCCUGGUGUUCAAGUGGUGAAAUUCGGUGAUGACGUGGUCAACAAUACACUCCACACUCUGCUUCUUGACCUUCUGGAAUUUUUUUAUUUAAGGAACCUUUCCUUUUGCGUGGAGUUCCAUACUUCGUAAAGACUAUCCCCAAAUUCUAAUCAUAACACCACCUAGCACCGUGUGGAUGAAGACUUACCUCAAAAAGCCUCCGUCAAUGAUUGAAUGGGAAUAAAAGAUGAGUAUGAUCAGUUUGGCUUUUUUCGUGUGUUUAUGGACGUCUGUAUUCAUGCUUAUUACUAUUACAAGCAGGCUAUAUAGUUUCUGAAAAACCUAAUAUUAUCGAUCUAAAGCUUGCUUAAUGUUAACAAAGGUUACUUAUAUACGUGUUGUAGUUAACUUACUCAUCUUAAAAAUGAGUUGUAUUUAACUUCAUUUAUGUUUUAUGUAAACUUAUGUAUGUUAUAAUAAGAUAUACUCGAAUUUAAUAAUA